rnacentral:piRNA from 1 species
GGUUAUGGACAGUUUAAAGGGAAG